rnacentral:rRNA from 1 species
UACAGAGGUCUCAAGCGUUGUUCGGAUUCAUUGGGCGUAAAGGGUGCGUAGGCGGCGCGGUAAGUCGGGUGUGAAAUCUUGGAGCUUAACUCCGAAACUGCAUUCGAUACUGCCGUGCUUGAGGACUGGAGAGGAGACUGGAAUUUACGGUGUAGCGGUGAAAUGCGUAGAGAUCUGGAAGAACACCAAAGGCGAAGGCAGCGUCCUGGCUCGUAUCUGACGCUCAUGUGCGAAAGCUAGGGGAGCGAACGGG